AACGAACGCUGGCGGACGGCUUAACACAUGCAAGUCGAACGGGCGUAGCAAUACGUCAGUGGCAGACGGGUGAGUAACACGUGGGAACCUUCCUAGGGGUACGGAACAACUCCGGGAAACUGGAGCUAAUACCGUAUACGCCCUACGGGGGAAAGAUUUAUCGGGGAUGGAUGAGCCUGCGUUGGAUUAGCUAGUUGGUGGGGUAAAGGCCGACCAAGGCGACGAUCCAUAGCUGGUCUGAGAGGAUGAUCAGCCACAUUGGGACUGCGACACGGCCCAAACUCCUACGGGAGGCAGCAGUGGGGAAUAUUGGACAAUGGGCGCAAGCCUGAUCCAGCCAUGCCGCGUGAGUGAUGAAGGCCUUAGGGUUGUAAAGCUCUUUCGCCGACGAAGAUAAUGACGGUAGUCGGAGAAGAAGCCCCGGCUAACUUCGUGCCAGCCGCCGCGGUAAAAC
rnacentral:rRNA from 1 species